rnacentral:rRNA from 1 species
UACGAAGGGGGCUAGCGUUGCUCGGAAUUACUGGGCGUAAAGCGCACGUAGGCGGCUUUCUAAGUCGGAGGUGAAAUCCUGGAGCUCAACUCCAGAACUGCCUUCGAUACUGGGGAGCUUGAGUCCGGGAGAGGUGAGUGGAACUGCGAGUGUAGAGGUGAAAUUCGUAGAUAUUCGCAAGAACACCAGUGGCGAAGGCGACUCACUGGCCCGUUACUGACGCUGAGGCGCGAAAGCGUGGGGAGCAAACAGG